rnacentral:rRNA from 1 species
GACGAACGCUGGCGGCGUGCUUAACACAUGCAAGUCGAACGGUGAUGCUCCAGCUUGCUGGAGUGGAUCAGUGGCAAACGGGUGAGUAACACGUGAGCAACCUGCCCCAGACUCUGGAAUAAGCGCUGGAAACGGCGUCUAAUACUGGAUACGAAACUGGCCCGCAUGGGCAUGGUUUGGAAAGUUUUUCGGUUUGGGAUGGGCUCGCGGCCUAUCAGCUUGUUGGUGAGGUAAUGGCUCACCAAGGCGACGACGGGUAGCCGGCCUGAGAGGGCGACCGGCCACACUGGGACUGAGACACGGCCCAGACUCCUACGGGAGGCAGCAGUGGGGAAUAUUGCACAAUGGGCGAAAGCCUGAUGCAGCGACGCCGCGUGAGGGAUGACGGCCUUCGGGUUGUAAACCUCUUUCAGCAGGGAAGAAGCGAAAGUGACGGUACCUGCAGAAGAAGCACCGGCUAACUACGUG